UAGGAAAUCUUCGGCAAUGGGGGGAACCCUGACCGAGCAACGCCGCGUGAGUGAAGAAGGUUUUCGGAUCGUAAAGCUCUGUUGUUAAGGAAGAACGAGUGUGAGAAUGGAAAGUUCAUACUGUGACGGUACUUAACCAGAAAGGGACGGCUAACUACGUGCCAGCAGCCGCGGUAAUACGUAGGUCCCGAGCGUUGUCCGGAUUUAUUGGGCGUAAAGCGAGCGCAGGCGGUUAGAUAAGUCUGAAGUUAAAGGCAGUGGCUCAACCAUUGUAGGCUUUGGAAACUGUUUAACUUGAGUGCAGAAGGGGAGAGUGGAAUUCCAUGUGUAGCGGUGAAAUGCGUAGAUAUAUGGAGGAACACCGGUGGCGAAAGCGGCUCUCUGGUCUGUAACUGACGCUGAGGCUCGAAAGCGUGGGGAGCGAACAGG
rnacentral:rRNA from 1 species